rnacentral:lncRNA from 1 species
AGAGGGAGAAGGUGUUGCCCCUUGCCUUCUUAGUGGCGGUACCCAAGGCCAAAAGAGAAACAAAGGGAGAAGGAGACUCACCUGAGGUGGUGGAGGCAAUAGGGCUUGCCCGAAUGGAGUGGAUUCUGACAGCAAAAGGAUGGAGAUCACGAGAUGGGGGGAAAAUAGAGCAUGAAGAGUUUUGAGAGAAAAAUAAAAAGAUUUUGGGAGUGACAACACUCAGCACAAUAACACGACGGCCGCUAGAGGUGAGGAAGAAAAUGGUGAGAUGCAGAGAUGGGU